UACGGAGGGGGCUAGCGUUGUUCGGAAUUACUGGGCGUAAAGCGCGCGUAGGCGGCUUUGCAAGUCAGAGGUGAAAGCCUGGAGCUCAACUCCAGAACUGCCUUUGAAACUGCAUCGCUUGAAUCAUGGAGAGGUUAGUGGAAUUCCGAGUGUAGAGGUGAAAUUCGUAGAUAUUCGGAAGAACACCAGUGGCGAAGGCGACACACUGGCCCGUUACUGACGCUGAGGCGCGAAAGCGUGGGGAGCAAACAGG
rnacentral:rRNA from 1 species